UCCCUGGUUGUCUAGUGGUAAGGAUUCGGCACUCUCACCGCUGUGGCCCGGGUUCGAUUCCGGGUCAGGGAA
rnacentral:tRNA from 1 species